AAACUGGAGAGUUUGAUCCUGGCUCAGAACAAACGCUGGCGGCGUGCCUAACACAUGCAAGUCGUACGUGAAAGUCCGCUUCGGCGGAUGAGUAAAGUGGCGCACGGGUGAGUAACGCGUGGAUAAUCUGCCCUAUAGUCGGGGAUAACUCAUCGAAAGGUGAGCUAAUACCGGAUAAUGCUGUUUUUGCUUCGGCUAAGCAGCCAAAGGGGGCCUCUAUUUAUAAGCUUUCGCUAAAGGAUGAGUCCGCGUACCAUUAGCUUGUUGGCAGGGUAACGGCCUACCAAGGCGACGAUGGUUAGCUGGUCUGAGAGGAUGAUCAGCCACACUGGAACUGAGAUACGGUCCAGACUCCUACGGGAGGCAGCAGUGAGGAAUCUUGCGCAAUGGGGGAAACCCUGACGCAGCAACGCCGCGUGAGUGAGGAAGGUCUUCGGAUCGUAAAGCUCUGUCGGGUGGAAAGAAAUGUAUGAGUGCUAAUACCGCUCGUACUUGACGGUACCACCAGAGGAAGCACCGGCUAACUCCGUGCCAGCAGCCGCGGUAAUACGGGGGGUGCAAGCGUUGUUCGGAAUUAUUGGGCGUAAAGAGCGUGUAGGCGGCUUGAUAAGUCAGAUGUGAAAGCCCUGGGCUUAACCCAGGAAGUGCAUUUGAAACUGUCUUGCUGGAGUAAGGGAGGGGGAAGUGGAAUUCCUGGUGUAGAGGUGAAAUUCGUAGAUAUCAGGAGGAACACCGGUGGCGAAGGCGACUUCCU
rnacentral:rRNA from 1 species